AUGAAUCCGUCCUCGGCCCCGGGUCCGGACGGCCUUCCGGUGAAAUUCUUCCAGACCUUCUGGAAUGUGAUUAAGCCGGAAAUCAUGGCCAUUUUCGAUGAGUUCUAUGUUGGGACCAUCGACCUUGGUCGCCUCAACUAUGGGAUCAUCUCGCUCAUUCCCAAAGUGCCGGGGGCCUCCGACAUCCACCAGUUCCGCCUGAUCACGGUGAUCAAUGUGAUCUUCCGGAUUCUGGCUAAAGGGUACGCCAAUAGGGUGACCCUGCUCGCGGACCUCAUUACCCACCCCAACCAGUCCGCCUUC
rnacentral:rRNA from 1 species